UUGACACACACACUUCAGAUCAUAUGGAUACUAGUGUUGGAGAUUUAGUUUUGCAUUGUGAUGAUUCUUCCAUGGAUGAGCCAGAGCUGCAGUUAGUUGUUUUUUAUAUUGAGGAGUCACCUUUAGUUGAUAUUGAUCAUGUGCUGCUAGAGCCAGAUAUGGAGAAGUUCAGCUUCAAUGAUUUAGCCGCAUUGAUUCCUCAACACUUGAGCCUGAGAUGGAGAGCUUCAUGGUUAAUUAUGAUGAGGUGGAUUCAGAUGUCAAGGAGCCAAGCUCUACUAUUUCACUUGUUGACACGAGUCCGGUGGAAAUUUCUACAACCACACCUCACUUGGCAUCUUCAAUUGAGGUAGUCCUGAAGCUUCUUCCUAACUAUCUCAGGUUGAUGCUUGUGCACCAUUUACUGCGAGUUGACAGAGUUCGAGAUGACAUUCCCUGGGAUCCUGGUGGAUUCACGGCAUGGUGAUGAGGAGAAGCAAUGGGCACAUGCGAAGAAGAGUGAAGCUGGAGCAGGCAUGGGGAUAGAGAAGCAAAAAGAGAAGAGCUGCAGUUUAGAGAGCGUUGAGCGAGUGCUACUUCCUAUAUAAACCCGGUGAGCUGUUUCAUGACCCAUUCUGAAUAUAUCAUCCAUUAUACAUGCUGAAAUCAAUUGCUAUUUGGGUUGCUUGAGCCAUUUCUUAAAUGUCGUCCCACUGAAUUUUACCUUUGACAUAUGGUGCUUGAUGUGAAUAUGUGAACUGAAUUGUGAAUGCCUUGUAAACUAGUGAUCUACAUACUGCUUGCUUUGCUGAAAUUAGUGAAAGUUAUUAGUUUUGAGUGCUCAAAUCCCUAGUACACUGGAAAACUUCAUCAUUUUCUGCAUUUACUUUGAUACACCUAGAUCAUCAAUUGUUAGAUGCUGAUUUUGUGCCAAGUGUGUUCCCCUUCAGAGCAAUCAUUCACCACUAUGGACUAGCAUACUAUGUUCCCUGGAUCGGUAGUAUGUGAACCAGACUUGGAUGAGUGAUGAUUCUUGUUUCCUUUUGUAUUCAUUUGUUAAAAAAGUAAUAAUGAAUAAAUAAGUCUGACUACCUACAGUAGCAUAUCAUGUUCCCUGGAUCGGUGGCAUGUGAAAUCGGGUUAGCUUGGGCAGUAAUUAAUAAUAAAAAUGUAAUUGUCGAACCAGGUGUAUACCAUGUUCUCGGGAUCGGUGGUAUGUUCCUUUGGGGAGACAAACAAAAAAAAACUAAUAAUUGGUCGAGCCAGGUGUAUACCAUGUUCUCGGGAUCGGUGGUAUGUUCUUUUGGUGAGAUCGAUAAAAUAUUAUCAUUACUUCCUUCAAAUUCAAUAAGUGCUUCAACCAUAAUGUUAUGUUCCGGGUAAUAAGUUUUUUUUGGGAUCAUGCUCUCUUUAGGAACCCUUUGGCACAAUCAGCAUUUGAACUUGUUGAUCCACUUUUAUCUUUGUAAAAGUUUAAAAUGAUUGAGUUUACUAGUGUCCUAUUGCUCUGUAGCACUCUUAACCAUUGAUUUUCACUAGCUAAGCCCAAAGCAUGCAUUGUUUGGAGAUUUACUUCACGGGGACAUUCUCUAGUCAGUUCACUUUUCACUAUCUUGCCUUUGUCAUAUUCCUUUGCUUGAGGACAAGCAAAGAUUUAAGUGUGGGGGAACUUGAUAAGCACAUUUCAUAUACAUAAUUUUGGCAUAGAAAUAUACCAUUUGUGGAGUUCUGACCAUCAAUUCUUGCUAUGAAAUAUUUAACAUUUGAAUGAUAUUCAUGAAAGAGCAUGUUGACUAGUGAAUUGUUUGUUUUGCAGAAAAGUGCGCAAAGGCACUAUAAACUUCAAGAUUCGGCCGGACUGCCAAAUGCGACGAGACUUGGGGCUUGAACGAGAGAACGAGGGACCCGAGCGAGAAGAAAAGAAGUAACCGAGGGGUAGAAGAAUGAUAAGGAUCUUCUUGUGAAGAAGGAAGAAGAGAUGAAGGGCCAAUUAGCAAAGUGGCAGAUGAGAGGAGGGGAUCAAAAUCCCUAGCAGCCUCCAUUCCCAAACCGGGCCUGGCUACACACAUCUCUCCCUCACCCCUUCUUCUCCACCUCCGGCCGCCGCCACGGCCAGGCCGGCGUGGUGGUGCGCUCCUCACCACCGCGCCUCCACCUUCACCGCGACACCACCACGCUGCUGCUCCUCCUUCUCCUCAACCUCCUGCUGCUGCCUCCUCUUCUCCAAGCCCCUCUGCUUCUUCUCCAUCACGAAACUGCUGCCACUCUCUUGCUGCGCCCUGCUGCUUCUUCUCACGCUGCUGCUGCUCUCUAUCCCCACGUCCCUGCUGCUGCAUCUUCUCCUUCUCCUUACCUCGCUGCUGCUCCUCCUCUCACCCUGCUGCUCUACUUCUUCUCUGAACCUCGCUUGCUGCUACUUCCCCUACCUCGCUUCCUUACCUCCGUUGCUGUUGCUUCUCUUCUGAACCACAAACUGCUGCUGCUCCUCUGAACCCCUACUGCUCCUGCUCCUAAUCUUCUCUCCAACCUCCUGUUGUCUCUUUCUUUCUCUCUUUCCCCCUCUCUCUGAAAUAUCUGUGCAAUUGAGAUGUUUGAGACCUUGUAAGGUUCAGACUUUGUAAAAUUCAGAAUUGAGAUGUGUAUGGCGUGUAUUGUUUA